UACGUAGGGGGCGAGCGUUGUCCGGAAUCAUUGGGCGUAAAGCGUUCGUAGGUGGUUCGUUAAGUCUGAUGUGAAAGCCCUGGGCUCAACCUGGGAAUGGCAUUGGAAACUGGCGAUCUAGAGUGCGGUAGAGGGUAGUGGAAUUCCCGGUGUAGCAGUGAAAUGCGUAGAGAUCGGGAGGAACAUCUGUGGCGAAGGCGACUGCCUGGACCAGCACUGACACUGAGGCACGAAAGCGUGGGGAGCAAACAGG
rnacentral:rRNA from 1 species